AAUUAACUACGUACAAAAUUUAAUACAUGUUUAAUAUGUUAUAAAAAUGAGUCCCACAUUGCCUGUAUUACGGCAUAUAUAUUUAUAAAUAGAUAUGCAUGAAGGUAAAACAAGAAGCUAUCUGUAACAUUUGAAAAAGCUUUAAUUUUAAAAGAUUUAUUUGCUAAACUUUAUAAAAAAAUUGCACUUCAAUCCAAUCACAAUGGAGGUUAAAUGAAAAAAAAUAAUAUAGUAGACUUCAAUAAACUUAUUUUAUUAUACAACAUAUCCUAACAUAAACAGCCCUACAUAUAUAUAUUUCUUUGGUUUAAUUUUCAUCCACUUUGAGCGAGUCAUCCUCUACUAUAUUGUGUACAAUGAUCUGUUCCUGUGGAACAGUUUCCAUAUCCUGAAC